rnacentral:lncRNA from 1 species
CUAAUCAUACCCAAAUCUCAUGAACCAUACACUAAGAUUAUGAACUAAAUCAUAUCCAAAUCUCAUAAACCAUACACCACAUUCAUGAGCCAAAUUAUACCCAAAUCUUAUGAAUCAUACACCACGUUCAUAAGCCGAAUCAUACCCAACUCUCAUAAACCAUACACCAAGUUCAUGAACCAAAUCAUACCCAACUCUCAUGAACCAUACACCAAAUUCAUAAACCAAAUCAUACCCAACUCUCAUGAACCAUACACUAAGUUCACAUUAAGUUCUAUCAUGAACCAACAUAAACAAAUUUUAG